UACGGAGGGUGCAAACGUUGCUCGGAAUUAUUGGGCGUAAAGCGCACGUAGGCGGUUUGUUAAGUCGGAUGUGAAAGCCCCGGGGCUCAACCCGGGAAGUGCAUUCGAAACUGGCAAGCUUGAGUAUGGAAGAGGGUCUCGGAAUUCCCGGUGUAGAGGUGAAAUUCGUAGAUAUCGGGAGGAACACCAGUGGCGAAGGCGGAGACCUGGGCCAAUACUGACGCUGAGGUGCGAAAGCGUGGGGAGCAAACAGGG
rnacentral:rRNA from 1 species